UAUAACCUUUUCCAGACUGAUAGAUCUCAAAUACUUUGUAUAUGUAUAUUAUAUAUGUAUAUGACACCGAACAGGCCGCACAAUCUGAGGUAUCUGUGGAACUACUUACUGGCUGAAAUUUUGUCAGAAAGAAAUAAUAGAUAGAUAUUGACAAUAGUCCAGAUUUAAAGUGUCCCAGUUCGAUUGUCACUAAAGUGUUCAUGUGUUAGGUGUUUUCCUGGUUUAUACUGCGAAUGGCCUGUGGGCAGAAUCUCCUCCUCAUUCUUCCUCUGUUUGCCUUUAAGGAUCGGAAGAGCUUUCCUGAACGCAACACAGAAAAGAGGACUUCUUUAUUGGGAUGGCUGAGGUCCUCCAAUAUCUUUCGGGCCCUGGCUCAGCACCGCUUGCUGUACAUGUCCUGCAGUUCAGGGAGCCCAGAACGCUCAGCUAACUGCACCACCCUCUGGUGCCUGCCCUGCAUGAUGCAUUUCCUUCAUCAGGGUGACGAUCCCAGCCAACAUGUCCAUGUGUGCAGCCGAGGAAUCUGCAUAGACCCACCAGUGAACUAUUUUACAUUAGUAAUUCUGUUAUUCCUGUUUCCUGUUUUUUUACUUGAAUUAAUUUAAAUUAAAUGUGAUUUACACAUUC